GACGAACGCUGGCGGCGUGCUUAACACAUGCAAGUCGAACGGAAAGGCCCUGCUUUUGUGGGGUGCUCGAGUGGCGAACGGGUGAGUAACACGUGAGUAACCUGCCCUUGACUUUGGGAUAACUUCAGGAAACUGGGGCUAAUACCGGAUAGGAGCUCCUGCUGCAUGGUGGGGGUUGGAAAGUUUCGGCGGUUGGGGAUGGACUCGCGGCUUAUCAGCUUGUUGGUGGGGUAGUGGCUUACCAAGGCUUUGACGGGUAGCCGGCCUGAGAGGGUGACCGGCCACAUUGGGACUGAGAUACGGCCCAGACUCCUACGGGAGGCAGAAGUGGGGAAUAUUGCACAAUGGGCGGAAGCAUGAUGCAGCAACGCCGCGUGCGGGAUGACGGCCUUCGGGUUGUAAACCGCUUUCGCCUGUGACGAAGCGUGAGUGACGGUAAUGGGUAAAGAAGCACCGGCUAACUACGUG
rnacentral:rRNA from 1 species